GACGAACGUUGGCGGCGUGCUUAACACAUGCAAGUCGAACGGAAAGGCCCUGCUUUUGUGGGGUGCUCGAGUGGCGAACGGGUGAGUAACACGUGAGUAACCUGCCCUUGACUUUGGGAUAACUUCAGGAAACUGGGGCUAAUACCGGAUAGGAGCUCCUGCUGCAUGGUGGGGGUUGGAAAGUUUCGGCGGUUGGGGAUGGACUCGCGGCUUAUCAGCUUGUUGGUGGGGUAGUGGCUUACCAAGGCUUUGACGGGUAGCCGGCCUGAGAGGGUGACCGGCCACAUUGGGACUGAGAUACGGCCCAGAUUCCUACGGGAGGCAGCAGUGGGGAAUAUUGCACAAUGGGCGGAAGCCUGAUGCAGCAACGCCGCGUGCGGGAUGACGGCCUUCGGGUUGUAAACCGCUUUCGCCUGUGACGAAGCGUGAGUGACGGUAAUGGGUAAAGAAGCACCGGCUAACUACGUG
rnacentral:rRNA from 1 species